ACCCAAAAAACACACGUACAUGAGAGAAAAAGACCCAAAAAAGAUUAAUUUUACAAGCAUGUCUUAGAGGACACUAUGCUACUCUACGACCAGCACCACCCAGUGCUCCUCGAACGUCAGCCAAGGGUCAUCCGGCGUUCCUCGUCGUAGAUCCAGCCAUCCAAACCGAAGUCAUGAGAAUGCAUGUCUUUGCUGAAAAUGCUCCCA
rnacentral:lncRNA from 1 species